UCCUUCCUUUGAUCAGAAUAGACUCUCCA
rnacentral:piRNA from 1 species